UAAGUAGCGACAGUGCCCAAUUUCAUUACUUUAGUAACCACGCCAUACUUCGUCCUUGGUCUACCAUGAAAGCAAGUGCUCCCGAGGAGGAUGCAGAGCAAAUGGGCAUCAGCAGGCACUAGAGGUGUCUAACGUGAAAAGACGGACAGCUGCAGUCCGAGGCAGUCCCUGGCCGAUUAACAAAAUGUUAGGAGUUACACUUUUCUUAUUUUUAGAGAAGGAGGUUCACUGUACAGCCCAGGCCGGCCUAGAACUGGAGACCUUCCUGCUUGGGGCUCGGAAGUACUGGGAUGGAGAGUGUAGGUACUGGGAGUGUGAACCAUUAUGCCCGGCGCGAAUCUGGAAACAGCACUGAUGUCCACCCGGGGAAACCGGGCUGUACGCGCUGGAAAAUCUGGGGACCCUGGAGAGUGAGCCGGAACAGGCCCACUGCGGUGGCGAGUGGAGCGCUGUUCCGGGGGCGCCGGGAGGGGGAGACGCACAGCAGCACUUCCGCUCAGGCCCACAGGCGGGGCAGCCUGCAGGCAUGGCUUCCGGCGAGGCCCCUUUCCGGCUUCCGCUUCGUGGCUCAGGCCCCACCUCCUAGAACUGCCUUCUAAAGACGCCGGGCGUUAGCGCAUGCGCUUUGUAUAGCGCGUUCCGGGUCUUGCUAGGGGUGCAGUCUGUUUCCCAGACACCAGGGGGAGCCUGUCAAAAUCUUGACCUGAGCUGGGUAACUGCUGGCAUCCCCCCAAGCCCUGGCAUGGAGCUGCUGGCCCGGAACCCACUCAUUGCUGGUAAGGCCAUUCUUCUGCACUGAAUCCUUAAGUACAGAAGUCUAUUGAUUUUUGAGGUCCUUUACCUGGUCUAAGGAAGUUCUUUGUGGGUAAGUACACCCAUAUCGUGCAGUGCCCGCGGAGGCCAGAAGAGGCUGUU